CGAAUAGUGAAAUGAAGAGAGCUAUCCGUCGACAGUCAAGUUAAUACCAAUUGUAAUACUGUCAUGGAAUUGCUCUCUUUGUAUAAUAUUCG
ncrna:Drosophila yakuba microRNA dya-mir-281 precursor (dya-mir-281-2)